CUGCAUAUAUGUGACAGGCCUACAGCAGUAUUGUUUGCUGCUAAGAUUUCCCCUACAGAUGCAAGGAAAAAAGUGCCCUGGUGCUUUCUGUCUCUCUGUAGCAGCCUAGACUGAGUGGGAGAACACAG
rnacentral:snoRNA from 1 species